UGAGUAAAAUAUAGUAAGCAUUAUCAAUCGCUUGGCAACCAUGAAGGCCAUUCUCAUUGCUUUCUUACUCUUUGCUUCUCUUUUCUUCUUUCCCACUUCAACUAUGGCUCGACAACUCAAGGAAGGAACGUUUCAGACAGGAAACCCUAAUGACCCUAAUAAUCCUGCUAUUAAGUGUCCUCCCGGUCAGCCUUAUAGAAAUUGUCUUCCAUCACCGACACCACCAUGCUCACCAUUUGUACGCAAUUGCUGAUAUCUGAAUGAAUUAGAUAGUUUUACUCGUUCCUGGUACCAUUUAACACUUCCUGUGUUAAACCAUGGUGCUACCAUCUCUAUGUUUUUCCUUAUUUGGCUUAAAUGUGCUGUUUAAUAUAUAAGGGUUUGGCCUCUAGGCCAAUCCAAUAAAUAAGAACAUGGUUGCGUUUCCUUUUCGUU